UACUAUGUAAUUUUUAAUCAAAAGGAAAACAAAGGUAUAUGGUAUGCAAAUGAUUAUAUAUAUAUUGGUCAAACAAAAAAACGAUUGCACCGCCCCCACCGCUUGCACCUCAUCAGUGUGUCUACUCCCAGUUUAACACUUUAACACCAUAGUAAGGAUAAAAUAAAACUUAUAAACACCAACAUAAAUUAUCCUGUAAGUUCUAUUUAAUUUAUUUGCACAAUUUUUCUAUACUUUCAUCCGUAAUUCAUAUUUGUUCAAAUCAUCUUUUAUGUUUUCUGUCAAUAAUUUUUUCCACAUGCAUUAUACAAGUUGAGAAAAGUUGGAACAUACAAGUUUUAGAAUAGAGAACAUUGAAAGGAAACACUUAUGAAGUUAUGAAUUGAAGUGGAUGGAAUUUUGUAUCAGAAGAAGGUGUUGGGGAAGAUAAUGAGAAAGAUAACAUGAGUGAGAGCGCUUGGAGAGACUAAGGGAAAGAAGAAAAAAA
rnacentral:lncRNA from 1 species